rnacentral:rRNA from 1 species
AAUAGAUACCCCGGUAGUCCACCCCGUAAACGUUGGGAACUAGUUGUGGGGUCCUUUCCACGGAUUCCGUGACGCAGCUAACGCAUUAAGUUCCCCGCCUGGGGAGUACGGCCGCAAGGCUAAAACUCAAAGGAAUUGACGGGGACCCGCACAAGCGGCGGAGCAUGCGGAUUAAUUCGAUGCAACGCGAAGAACCUUACCAAGGCUUGACAUACACCAGAACACCCUAGAAAUAGGGGACUCUUUGGACACUGGUGAACAGGUGGUGCAUGGUUGUCGUCAGCUCGUGUCGUGAGAUGUUGGGUUAAGUCCCGCAACGAGCGCAACCCUCGUUCUAUGUUGCCAGCACGUAAUGGUGGGAACUCAUGGGAUACUGCCGGGGUCAACUCGGAGGAAGGUGGGGAUGACGUCAAAUCAUCAUGCCCCUUAUGUCUUGGGCUUCACGCAUGCUACAAUGGCCGGUACAAAGGGCUGCAAUACCGUGAGGUGGAGCGAAUCCCAAAAACGCCGGUCCCAGUUCGGAUUGAGGUCUGCAACUCGACCUCAUGAA